GAUGAACGCUGGCGGCGUGCCUAAUACAUGCAAGUCGAGCGAACGGACGAGAAGCUUGCUUCUCUGGUGUUAGCGGCGGACGGGUGAGUAACACGUGGAUAACCUACCUAUAAGACUGGGAUAACUUCGGGAAACCGGAGCUAAUACCGGAUAAUAUUUUGAACCGCAUGGUUCAAAAGUGAAAGACGGUCUUGCUGUCACUUAUAGAUGGAUCCGCGCUGCAUUAGCUAGUUGGUAAGAUAACGGCUUACCAAGGCAACGAUGCAUAGCCGACCUGAGAGGGUGAUCGGCCACACUGGAACUGAGACACGGUCCAGACUCCUACGGGAGGCAGCAGUAGGGAAUCUUCCGCAAUGGGCGAAAGCCUGACGGAGCAACGCCGCGUGAGUGAUGAAGGUCUUCGGAUCGUAAAACUCUGUUAUUAGGGAAGAACAUAUGUGUAAGUAACUGUGCACAUCUUGACGGUACCUAAUCAGAAAGCCACGGCUAACUACGUG
rnacentral:rRNA from 1 species